AUGAGAUUUAAUAGAAAUGCUACUGCUCUCCGCCCUGGGAUUUUCGCCAUACGAUUUGUGCUCAAAGCAAUGACAAAUCCUCACGAAGAAGCUAAAACGCAGCAAAAUACUGACGAAGACCCUGCUGAAGAGCAUGCAAUCCAGCAAGCUCCUGUCAAAGAACAUGAAGACUGUGAUAUUCAAAGCGCAGAAACAGGCAGCAUGUCUCCUCAUUCAUCAGAAAAGGACACGGAACAAAACAUGAGGAACAAACCACCUGCGGAAGAAAUGAUAACUUACACCAGGCUCAACAGGAAUAAACAUCUAGCAACAAGCAAAAAAAAGAGGAAAUCAGAUACAAGCACUGUUUUUACUCCUGGAGCAAAAAGGCAAAAGCAAAAGGACAAUGCUGAAAACAUCAUCGACACUAGUACAUUGCAGCAUCAGCCAUUACCUCUAAUGGUACUCCCGCCAAAAGCACCAACCGCCACGAAGAAACAAGGUGAACGCAAGAAGAAAAACAAAUGA
rnacentral:rRNA from 1 species